UUCUUUCCUUGCUUUCGGGCUCUCAUCCAUGCACUACUCUCUGUCCUCACUUUCCGUCUUUCUCUCAUUCUCUCAUUCUUCUCUUUCUCUCUUUUUUUUCUUUCUUUCUUUUUUCUCUUUCUCUUUUUCUCUCUUUCUCUCUUUCUUUCUUUCUUUCUUUCUUUCUUUCUCUCUCUCUUUCUUU
rnacentral:lncRNA from 1 species